rnacentral:rRNA from 1 species
UACAGAGGGGGCAAGCGUUGUUCGGAAUUACUGGGCGUAAAGGGCGCGUAGGCGGCCUGUUAAGUCGAACGUGAAAUCCCCGGGCUCAACCCGGGAACUGCAUCCGAUACUGGCAGGCUUGAAUCCGGGAGAGGGAUGCGGAAUUCCAGGUGUAGCGGUGAAAUGCGUAGAUAUCUGGAGGAACACCGGUGGCGAAGGCGGCAUUCUGGACCAUUACUGACGCUGAGGAGCGAAAGCCAGGGGAGCAAACGGG